rnacentral:tRNA from 1 species
GGGAAAGUGGCUCAGUGGUAGAGUGCUUGCCUUGCAUGCACGAGGCCCUGGGUUCGAUUCCUCAGCACCA